AUUAAUAAUAUUGCAUUUCCUUUUCACCCUGAUAUUUUCCAUGUCAUUUGGGUCAUAGGUGCCAUCAUGCGGGUUUCAAGUCAUCCAGAGCAGGGUGGAAGUGAACUGAACUCUGAUGACGAAUUCCUUGGGCUUCCUUUGCUGACUUCGCCACCUCAGUUUAUCGCCGGACAUUUGGAAGAUUUGGAAGAUGCCCUCCUGUGUCCUGACCUUCCACCUGCCUACCACACUGAUGACAGCGAAGACCACAGCAGUGAGGACAGUGAGGGUGGCCAUUCUGAUGACAGCAAUGACAAGCAUGGCAGCAGGCAUGAUGACAGUGACUAUCACAGCCAGGAUGAUCACACCAAUGAUGUCUACAGCAAAGGCUAUGUCAAACUGCAAGAACAAGGAAUGUGCACAGCUUGCUGUCACCUUUGCAAUAUGCAAACUAAGUGGGAACUCAGCCACAGAAAAGCCACAGAGAGAAGAGGAAAGGCUGUAGAAAUGAAAGCAAAGGAGCUAGAAGUGUACCACGAGUGUGAAGCAAGAUGUCAAUGGAAAGAUCGUGAAGCAUUAUUUUCAGGCUCUGUUUUUCAUGAAGGGGUCACCAUGUCAGUGUCGGGUCUCCCAGAGAGCAGUGGACAGGACACGAGUUCUGAUGAAGGAGGCCUCAUGUCCCCCCAGUUUGUGCCAGGACAAUUGGAAGAUUUGGAAGAUGCCCUUCUGUGUCCCAAGCUCCAACCUGAUGUGGACAUGGAUAUGGAAGAAGAGGGAUUUGCUUUGCUGGAUGCGUGGAGUUAGAGCUGUGUUCCAGCUGCAGUUCCUUGCCUGACUUUUGCCUUUGUGAGUUGAGCUGGGGGACACUUGCUGCCAUGUUGCAAUGUCUGGAGGAAACCCCAGGCAGCCAACAUGCACUCAGAUUCUAGAGGCUGCCAGUGACCAGUAGAGACAACAGUGAAGUCAUUUUGGACAUAGCAUGUAGGGCUUUCCUCAGAUUCACUCCUUCUUUCUCUCCACCUUUCCUUCUUCCCUAGUUGGGGGCUGAAUGGAAGAGAAGCCCAUCACACCAGGGAAGCAAGGAUCACCACACCUGCCUUCCCUGUCCUAUCUUGAGGCAAGGUUUAAGGCCAUGAAAAAGUCAAGGAAAUCCCAAGAACCUCUUCCAUCCCACCAAACAACAAAACCAAGAAAUGCCCAUGUAUGCAAAUUUAUACAGAAAAGUCCAUCCCCUAAAGAAGAGAUAACAGAAGACACCCAGAUCCUUUCACUUUGCAGAGUGGGAAGGUUCUUGGUCAUGCUAUUUUGCAGAUCUUGUUGAUAUGUCCAUCAGUUUUACUCACUUUUCUCUUCCCCUUUCAUGCUUUUGAUCAAAAUCAUUUGUUACCUGAGCUGGCUGUCUGGGAGAGAAGGAGGGAGGAGUGGGGGAAUAGUGGUUGAAGUUCUGGUGAUGGACAAAAGUGACACU
rnacentral:lncRNA from 1 species